UACGUUGAAGUAACAGUAUGUACGUUUUUAGUUUUUAUUGGUAUCGCUUCAUUUGUGUUAUUGAAAAGGUUGCUAAGUACGAGGUGUAACUAUUUUUCAGCCACAGCUAGCUAUGCUAGCUCUGCGCCCCAUGUGGUCUGAAUGCUAUAUUGAACUGAUGUGAUUUCUUUGGUGCCUUAUAGCUGUUAGAGUGGAGAAGCACAAUACUGACUAGCUGCUGUAUUUCCUCUGAUUAUACUCAAACAGGCUCCAGCAGACGUGACUCCAGUAAAAGCUCAGAACCAACUUCUUGUUGCACUUGCCUUAUUGAGGGACCAGAACAGUGGGGUUACAUAUGAACAUAUGAAAAAAAGGAUACCACCAAACCCCACUUACAAUUAUUCCUGUACAUUUUAAAACAUGAAAUUCAAAAAGGAAAUACUGACUUGCCAAUUAAAAAUGCAGUCGUUUUCAAUAUGUAUUUACUGUACUAUCAUUGUAUAUUAAAUAUAUUAAAUAGUC